AGCGAACGCUGGCGGCAGGCUUAACACAUGCAAGUCGAACGCCCCGCAAGGGGAGUGGCAGACGGGUGAGUAACACGUGGGAACGUACCCUUUGGUUCGGAAUAACUUGGGGAAACUCAAGCUAAUACCGGAUAAGCCCUUAUGGGGAAAGGUUUACUGCCGAAGGAUCGGCCCGCGUCUGAUUAGCUAGUUGGUGAGGUAAUGGCUCACCAAGGCGACGAUCAGUAGCUGGUCUGAGAGGAUGAUCAGCCACACUGGGACUGGGACACGGCCCAGACUGCUACGGGAGGCAGCAGUGGGGAAUAUUGGACAAUGGGGGCAACCCUGAGCCAGCCAUGCCGCGUGAGUGAUGAAGGCCUUAGGGUUGUAAAGCUCUUUUACCCGGGACGAUAAUGACUGUACCGGGAGAAUAAGCCCCGGCUAACUUCGUGCCAGCCGCCGCCGUAA
rnacentral:rRNA from 1 species